rnacentral:rRNA from 1 species
AAAAAUAAGAUAAAAACUGGGAAAUAAGCAUGGCUCAGACAUCCAAGGAAGGAAUUAGCAGCAUUAGCUCUCAAGCCUGGCAAGGCGAAAGCUCUUAGGCGGCGUCUGCGAAUGUUUUGA